UACGGAGGUGGCAAGCGUUGCUCGGAAUCCCUGGGCGUAAAGGGCGCGUAGGCGGGGAGGUAAGUCGGGUGUGAAAUCCCUCGGCCCAACCGAGGAACUGCGCCCGAGACUGCUUCUCUUGAGUCCCGGAGAGGAAGGUGGAAUUCCCGGUGUAGCGGUGAAAUGUGUAGAGAUAGGGAGGAACACCGGUGGCGAAGGCGGCCUUCUGGACGGUGACUGACGCUGAGGCGCGAAAGCGUGGGGAGCAAACGGG
rnacentral:rRNA from 1 species